GCACAAGCGGUGGAGCAUGUGGUUAAUUCGAAGCAACGCGAAGAACCUUACCUGGCCUUGACAUGCUGAGAACUUUCCAGAGAUGGAUUGGUGCCUUCGGAACUCAGACACAGGUGCUGCAUGGCUGUCGUCAGCUCGUGUCGUGAGAUGUUGGGUUAAGUCCCGUAACGAGCGCAACCCUUGUCCUUAGUUACCAGCACGUAAUGGUGGGCACUCUAAGGAGACUGCCGGUGACAAACCGGAGGAAGGUGGGAUGACGUCAAGUCAUCAUGGCCCUUACGGCCAGGGCUACACACGUGCUACAAUGGUCGGUACAGAGGGUUGCCAAGCCGCGAGGUGGAGCUAAUCUCACAAAACCGAUCGUAGUCCGGAUCGCAGUCUGCAACUCGACUGCGUGAAGUCGGAAUCGCUAGUAAUCGCGAAUCAGCAUGUCGCGGUGAAUGCGUUCCCGGGGUUU
rnacentral:rRNA from 1 species